AGACUGGGGAGGGUGAAAUGCA
rnacentral:miRNA from 10 species